AACGAACGCUGGCGGCAUGCCUAACACAUGCAAGUCGAACGAGACCUUCGGGUCUAGUGGCGCACGGGUGCGUAACGCGUGGGAACCUGCCCUUAGGUUCGGAAUAACUCCCCGAAAGGGGUGCUAAUACCGGAUAAUGUCUUCGGACCAAAGAUUUAUCGCCUUUGGAUGGGCCCGCGUUGGAUUAGCUAGUUGGUAGGGUAAAAGCCUACCAAGGCGACGAUCCAUAACUGGUCUGAGAGGAUGAUCAGCCACACUGAGACUGAGACACGGCACAGACUCCUACGGGAGGCAGCAGUGGGUAAUGGUGGACAGUGGGCGAAAGCCUGAUCCUGCUAUGCCGGGUAAGUGAUGAAAUCCUGAGGGUUGUAAAGCUCAUUUACCCGUGAUGAUAAUGACGGUACCGGGAGAAUAAGCUCCGGCUAACUACGUG
rnacentral:rRNA from 1 species